CUCAAAUUAAUAAAGUCAGGCUCAAAGGGUGGUCAAACACACACAAAUUAAAUAAGGCUAAAAACUAACCCCGCUGUAGCACGCAAUAGUUAAAAUAAACACAACUUCGAAAGUGGCCCUACAAAAUAAACUUGAACCCACGACAACUAGGAGACAAACUGGGAUUAGAUACCCCACUAUGCCUAGUUAUAAACUUUGAUUUAUCCGCCAGAAUACUACGAGCAACAGCUUAAAACUCAAAGGACUUGGCGGUGCUCUACACCCCCCUAGAGGAGCCUGUUCUAUAAUCGAUAAUCCACGAUAAACCUCACCAUCUAUUGCCAAUACAGCCUAUAUACCACCGUCCAGCCCACCCUUUAAAGGGCUAACAGUAGGCACAACUAUAGACAUAAAAACGUCAGGUCAAGGUGUAGCAUAUAAGAUGGGAAGAAAUGGGCUACAUUUUCUAACUUAGAAAAUUACGGAAAAGCUUGUGAAAUUAAAGCUAUGAAGGAGGAUUUAGCAGUAAAAAGAAAAAAGAGGGUUCUUUUUAAACCGGCAAUGGAGCGCGCACACACCGCCCGUCACCCUCUUCAAAUAACCAUAAACAAUAAAUAAAUAAAGAUUAAAAAAAGAAGAGGCAAGUCGUAACAUGGUAAGUCUACCGGAAGGUGAACUUGGAACAUC
rnacentral:rRNA from 1 species